rnacentral:rRNA from 1 species
GACGAACGCUGGCGGCGUGCUUAACACAUGCAAGUCGAACGGAAAGGCCUGCUUUCCCUUGUGGAUUGCGGGUACUCGAGUGGCGAACGGGUGAGUAACACGUGAGUGAUCUGCCCCCAACUUGGGUAUAAGCCUGGGAAACUGGGUCUAAUUCCCGAUAGGACUGCAGGGUGGUGCCUGUGGUGGAAAACGAUUUUCUAGUGGUUGGGGAUGAGCUCGCGGCCUAUCAGCUUGUUGGUGGGGUAAUGGCCUACCAAGGCGGCGACGGGUAGCCGGCCUGAGAGGGUGGACGGGCACAUUGGGACUGAGAUACGGCCCAGAAUCCGACGGGAGGCAGCAGUGGGGAAUAUUGCACAAUGGGCGGAAGCCUGAUGCAGCGACGCCGCGUGGGGGAUGACGGCCUUCGGGUUGUAAACUCCUUUCGACCGCGAGGAAGCCACCUGGUUGGAAGGGUGGUGACGGUAGUGGUAGAAGAAGCACCGGCUAACUACGUG